rnacentral:rRNA from 1 species
UUAUUGUGAAGUGGUUAGAAUAUGUAGUGUAGCGGUGAAAUGCAUAGAUAUUACAUAGAAUACCAAUUGCGAAGGCAGAUCACUAACAAUAUAUUGACACUGAUGGACGAAAGCGUGGGGAGCGAACAGGAUUAGAUACCCUGGUAGUCCACGCCGUAAACGAUGGAUACUAGCUGUUCGGUUUUCGGA